UACGGAGGGUGCAAGCGUUGUCCGGAUUUAUUGGGUUAAAGGGUGCGUAGGCGGCUUUUUAAGUCAGUGGUGAAAGACAACGGCUCAACUGUUGCAGUGCCAUUGAUACUGAAGAGCUUGAGUACAGAUGAGGUAGGCGGAAUUUAUGGUGUAGCGGUGAAAUGCAUAGAUACCAUAAAGAACACCUAUUGCGAAGGCAGCUUACUAGCUGUAACUGACGCUGAGGCACGAAAGUGUGGGGAUCAAACAGG
rnacentral:rRNA from 1 species